GACGAACGCUGGCGGCGUGCUUAACACAUGCAAGUCGAACGGAAAGGCCCUGCUUUUGUGGGGUGCUCGAGUGGCGAACGGGUGAGUAACACGUGAGUAACCUGCCCUUGACUUUGGGAUAACUUCAGGAAACUGGGGCUAAUACCGGAUAGGAGCUCCUGCUGCAUGGUGGGGGUUGGAAAGUUUCGGCGGUUGGGGAUGGACUCGCGGCUUAUCAGCUUGUUGGUGGGGUAGUGGCUUACCAAGGCUUUGACGGGUAGCCGGCCUGAGAGGGUGACCGGCCACAUUGGGACUGAGAUACGGCCCAGACUCCUACGGGAGGCAGCAGUGGGGAAUAUUGCACAAUGGGCGGAAGCCUGAUGCAGCAGCGCCGCGUGCAGGAUGACGGCCUUCGGGUUGUAAACCGCUUUCGCCUGUGACGAAGCGUGAGUGACGGUAAUGGGUAAAGAAGCACCGGCUAACUACGUG
rnacentral:rRNA from 1 species